AGAUGCAGAGGAUAAGGGCUUAAUAACCCCAGGGAAGGUAUUCGAUGGAAAUUCUCCAAUUCUAAAGUUGAUUAAUCAUAAAAAUUAUGCUAUGAACUCAGUUUUUUUGUUUUCAGUCAACAUUAAUAACUUCAACCAAGCCCAUCCUGCUUCUUAAAAUUUUAAGAGUCUCUUGUGUUUUCCAAGACUUCUGUUAACUAACAAAUUUGCCGUCUGGAUAUGUUGGAAUGUUGAUGGUUAAAGACUGUCCUCAUUGAGCUAACUAGUGGAAACACCGGCAUUGGAUUGGCCUUCAUUGCAGCAUCAAGGGGUUACAAACUUAUCAUUAUAAUGCCAUCAACAUACAGUAUUGAGAGAAGAAUAAUUCUCAGAGCUUUGGGAGCUGAGGUUUAUCUUGCAGAUCCAGCAGUGGGCUUUGAGGGGUUUGUUAAAAAGGGUGAGGAGAUACUAAACAGAACACCUAAUGGUUAUAUUCUUGGACAAUUUGAAAAUCCCGCGAAUCCGGAGGUACACUUUUCGUUGAUAUUACAACAUAGGUCUGCAUUUUAAAGGGUUUAUUAAUCUGUUUAUUGUCAAAUGUGUAGAUUCAUUACGAGACAACUGGCCCAGAGAUAUGGAACGACUCAGGAGGGAAGGUUGAUGCUUUUAUAGCAGGGAUAGGAACCGGUGGUACUGUAACUGGUGCGGGGAGAUUCCUUAAAGAAAAGAACCCAAAUAUUAAGGUUACCUUGAGGGUAUUGUUUGAGUAUGUGCAAGCAUGACUGGGAAAGAUAGAAAAAGAGGUUCUGAUUAUUCAUUCUAAUGCUUUCUUUUCUAGGUAUAUGGUAUAGAACCAUCUGAAAGUGCAGUCUUGAAUGGAGGACAACCUGGUUAGUUACUCUUUUUCUUUUCUUUAAGAUAUAUAAUAUCAUUUAUUUGUUUCAUGCCAUAUUUUGUUGUUUAUUUUCUUUCGUAUCCACAUUGCAUAAUUUUACAUUUGAAAGAUUUUAUGUGGUUUAAAGCUGAGUGCUUGCAUCAGCACAUUGGGCGAUAGCACAUUUUUAGAAUCUCAUUGGUGUCAGAAUUUUGUCAGAACACCAGCAGCCUUAUGACUCUUAUCAUAUUUGACAAGAUUAGAAACUUUUGGGCAGUAUUUUCUUUGUGAAUACGAAAGGUUCAUUGAAUAUUCUUGUUUUUCCUGUUUUAUUCCAAGUUCUGUUUUGAAGACUUCAUAUGAAUACUUUCACCUGAGCUGCUGCAUAUAUUUUCUUCUACACAUUUCUGAGAUUAGUAUCAUUUCCUGAUUGGUGUACAUCGCAUGCUGCAACAUGUUAUAGGGAAGCAUCUGAUCCAGGGUAUUGGUGCUGGUGUCAUCCCUCCUGUUUUGGACGUUGCCAUGCUCGAUGAAGUUAUUACAGUGAGUAUUAAAAUCCAAUUUUGGGUUAGUUACUUCAGAUUGGGUGAUUGGCACGUAAAAUUUAUUUUGCAGUGCUAGAUUUCUGUCAUUUGUUCUCGCAUUUUAAAUAAACUUACUCAUAAUUGACUGUAAAAAUACUUUUCAGGUAUCAAGUGAGGAAGCUAUUGAAACUAGUAAGCUGCUUGCCCUGAAGGAAGGUUUGCUGGUGCGUUUAUGUUUUAAAUAUUGCUUUUAGUUCUUAUGCUCCAUCUUUUCCAUUCUAUAAUUUCUAUUCCAGAUUUUGUCCCUUUGAUUGCUAGCCGUCAGUCAAUUCGUUGGCAGGUUGGAAUAUCUUCUGGUGCAGCAGCGGCAGCUGCUAUACGAGUAGCAAAGAGGCCUGAAAAUGCAGGGAAACUCAUUGUUGUAAGUUUGAUUUUCUUUGCUAAAUAUAUAAACUGUACUUAGUGUAAACAGUUUACAAUUUUGUAAUUUGUACUAAACUAUACUAACCGUGCCAUUUCUUCGGCUUCCUGUGCAGGUGAUUUUCCCCAGUGCUGGAGAGCGUUAUCUAUCCACAGCAUUGUUCGAAUCCAUUAGACACGAAGUGGAAAAUAUGCCCAUUGAUUAAGACGUCACCAAGUUUAGUAAGCAGCUGCCUGAAUUUGGGACAAACAUCCCUGCAUUUUCCGUAUGUGCCAGCCUAUAUUUACUUACUCUUUAUCGACUGUAUUUUAGUUCUUCUGAUGCUGUGACGGCUAGGUUCUAGAGAAUGGAACUAAGCCUUCAGCACAAGAAGAUUCAAUAAAUUUUGUAUGUAAAAUUGCAAUUUAGACAACCAAUCUGCUAAGAAAGCAAUGCAUUGUAAAAUAAUCUCAAAUUUGCUUCCCUUUGCUAGCAAGGUUUGGACAAGUUUGACAGAUAGUUGUUUGUUGUUAUUUGCAAGCAACUUAAAUUCUGCAAUGAAAAUUAAACUUUAAACGCACCUAAAUUUGAAAACCAAAUGAAACAAUUAUGAUCACUAAUGACAGUUUAGUUUAGUUUAAUUUCUUUCCCAUUACGAUUAUAUUUUUUUUAUCAAUUUAGGGUUCUAAUUCUAUUAAAAUUAAGAUUGUGUUGAACUAUUAUAAAUAAGUGGUUCUUAACAUGUGUCUUAGUAAAUAGUAAUAAAAUUAAUUCCAACCCAUAUUAAUUUCUCUCUUCCUUCUAAAUUUUUGAAUUCUUCAUCUCCUCUCCCCUAACAUCUGGCAUCAGAACAUAUUUUUCCAAGCCACCAAUUUUUCUUUUUCUGUUCAACUAAAAAAAUCUUCUCUCCCCUAACAUCUGGCAUCAGAACAUAUCCCUUCAUUUUUAUUGUUAGCUUUUCGUAAGUCAAUUAAUUGCUUUAAUCAAGUUUAUUCCACCAACUAAUUUUGACUUUUAUGAGUUACGGCCAUAAGCCAUCAACCGAACCCACCAUUAGCCUCAACAAGCUCCAGCAACCACACCUAAACUAGUGCCAUCAUCAACCGUCGACCAGCAACAGCACAACACCGAAUUUCUUGAUAAUUUUUUUAGACAUCAUGAUCGUUACCGUAAAGAAAAAGUUGCGCAACCGUCACAAAUUAGUAAAAAAUUUGCAGUGUUAGGGUGUGUUUGGUAUUGUUUUCAAAUUUCAUUUUUUAUUUUUUGAAUUUAGAAAACACUAAAUACGUGUUCAGUAGCUCGUUUUUGAAAAUGAAAAAUUCAUUCUACAUUUUUAACAAAAGAAGAAAACAAUUUUUUUCUUAUUUUUCUUAUUUUCUAAUAUAGUAUUAAAUUUCAAAAUGAACAAUUUUCUUCCAUCACCUCACAAAACAAUAAUAAUAUCAUCAUCAUCAUCAUCAUCAUUAUUAUUAUUUCUUCCAAAAAAUCAAUUUCCCUCACAAUAAUCUUUUCUUGUUAUAUACAUUAUAAUAUUUAUAUUUUUAUAUCUUAAUUAAAUCAAAUAUGCAGAGUUUAUAAUUUUUCUUUAAAUAAAAAAUUAACGAGAUCAAUAAGAUCGCCUAAUUUAUUCUUAAAAUUAAAAUAAUCAAACUGAUUAAAUAAUAAAAAUAAUUAUUCAUUACUUAAUUUUAAGUUUAUGCAAAUUAUUCCAAUAAUAAUUCUUUAAAAUAUUCCUACUGAACAUAUUUUACUUUUUUUAUUUUUAAGAUUAUUUUUAAAAAUAGUACCAAACAUAUUUUUUAAUUUUAAAAAUAAAUUUGAAAAUAACAUUUUCAUUUUUAUUUCAUAAAAACAACAUUUGAAAAAUAAUAUUAAAUAGAGCCUUAGCUGCCCAGAAUAACAUUUUUAUUUUUAAAUUAUAAUUUAAUAUAAAUUAAUAAAUAUAUAAUUUUUUAUUCAAUAAUAUUAUAUUAUAUUUUUAUUUUUAUAUUAUAAUUUAUUAAUAAAUUUAUAAUAUAAUAUAACUAAUAAUAAAUAUUUAAAUUUGAAUAAUAUUAAUUUAAAAUUAAUAAGAAUAUAAAUAUAAAUAUAAUAAAAUAUAAAAUUUAAAUUAAUUACAAAAAAAUUAAUACAGUACAGUGUAGUGCCAAACAUUGCACAGUAUUAUUCUAAUACAAUGCUAAUACAAUACAACAUAAUACAAUAUAUCAGCAUUAAAAUAAUGCAAUACAGCAUAAUACAAUACAGUGUACCAAACACACCCUCAAAAUACUUCUAUGGGACAUUCUUGAAGGCCAGUUGUGCAUGGCAGCAUAACUAUCUCCUAGUCCACAUGAAGUUGGCAUGUUAGAAUGCAGGGACUCCACCCAUCAACUAUCAGCCAGCAACACCACAACCCCGAAUUUUCUUGAUAAUUCUUUUUAGACAUCAUUGUGUUUACCGUACUUAAAGAAAAAAAUAGUGCAACCAUAUCAAAUUGAUGAAAAAUUUACAGUCUUAGCUGCUCAAAAUAACGCUCUCAAGGCACUUCCACAAGACAUUCUUAAAGGAUUAGGCCAGUUGUGUGCAAGGCAACACAACCAUCUCCUCGUCCACACAUGUUAGAAUGCAGGGACUCCACGAAACUCUUUAUUUGCCAGCAUUGUGACCAUUCCAGAGAGGAGACAAUUCAUGUUCUCAUCAAGGAUUCACACUCUUAAAUUCUAGCCCUCCGCAACCCUGGACUAGAACCGACACCCACUCCACCAGUCCUUUCUUUAUUGGGACCAAUACCCUCUGCAUUACCCAAACAUUUAUCAACAUCUAUACAUGCUGAGAGACAUUCUACAGAGGUUUGUUUUAAUUGUGAUGAGCAACUUAAGCCGGAGCAUUAUUGCAAACAACUUCAACUAUUGCCUUUAGCAGCUGAUGUCUCCAUUUAUCAUCAGUCUAAUACCUCAGUGGUUUUCAUUCUGUCAGCACACUUUUUCGAUUGGAAGCCACUAACGACUAUUUGAAUUGAAAAAAAUUGGUUAUUGAUCUUGGCCAGAAGGCUUGCAUGGGAAAUGUUACCACCCUAAUAGUUUAUUUUUAUUUCUUUUCUAUUAGGGCUAGGAUGACAAUAGGCACUAAUUGCCAUGGGUUUGCGAUACUAAACCUCGUACCAGCACAAAAUUUAAAUUACUAAACCUAACUGUAAUUCACUGUGAGUUUUAAUUUUUUUUUUUUUAAGAAAGACCACCUACUAUGAAUUUUGAUUAUUAUCAAACCAAUAAUGGCACCGAACAUAAUUUUUUGCAGGUUCUCAUAUUUAGAAUUACAAAUGUUCAACGUGUAAAAUUAUAACAACAACCUGAAAUAGUAAAAUUAAACAUAAAAUACUUAAUUUUAAAUUUAAUUAAUGUAAAUGAAAAAAAGGAAAAUUUCAACAUAAAUCCAACAAUAAAUCAAAUUUAAGUAUGAAAUGCAUAAGUCCAUUAAAAUUCAAAAGUGCUUUCAAUUAAUUAAAAAAAAACACAACAAUGGCAAAGGCAGCAGCAAUGGCUACAUAAUCAGCAACGACGGUAGCUCUAAAAUCACCGGUAGAGGCACCAACAACAACAAAUAGCUACCAAAUCAAUGAUAGCGGCGGCUACAGAAUUAACAGCCCUUACAAUAGCUGCAACAGUAUGGUGCUAUUGUCAGUAAAGAAGAGAGUUGGGCACUGGCUAUUUGGAUUGAGAAGGGAGUUAGGUAGCAGGGUAGUGUGCGACUCAUGGUCACGACUGAAGGUAGAUGACAUAUCGGUUUCCUUUAGUUUACUUAAAGAUGAGAGAUCGACUGAAGAAGUAGAUGGACUUUAUGGGUUACACGUUGUAGCUGCGCGCACGUUUACACAUUUUAUAUAUUUUUAGGUCUACAUAUUUUUAAUUAAAAUUUUAAAAAAUAUUUGAAAAAAAGUGUAGGUUUGGCGGAUACUUAUGCAGGUGUCCAUUGAAUAUUUAAUUAAUACCAUACCCACCAGCAUUUAGUACGGAUUUUGAUUUGUAAUACUAAAUUUAUCUGCAACCUGUAAAAUUAUUUAUAACAAGUGAGUUUGCAGGUACCAUUACCAUCCCUAAAAUUAAGUUUUAUAAUUUAGGAUUCUAAUUAAAUUAGAAUUAAGAUUGCGUUGAGCUAAUAUAAAUAGGUGGUUCUCAUUUUAUUUUUGAGUAGAUAUUAAUAAAAUUAAUUCCAACACAUAUUUAUUUUUCUCUUUUCUCUAUAAAUUCUUACUUCUUCAUCUCUUCCCUAUUGAAUUCUCUCUUCAAAGUCCUACAACCCUAACAUUGAUCAAACACUCCAAUUAAAAUAAUAUUAAUUAGGUGUUGUUAGACUUGCAAUUGAGAAGAAUUAAUAAAACACACAAGAAAUGAGCCUCUAACUUUAGAUAAUGAAGUAACAUGUAAAAAGUUUUGUUUGACGAUUUUACCUCCCAAAAACUUUGAGCCUUCAAUGGUGUCAUAAUGUUAAUUUCCGCAGUCAAGGGAAAGUUCAGGUUCCAUUCUCCACUAAGGACAAUCUUGUAAAAGCUUAACCUGACAACGACCACUUUCUAAUAUAUAAAAUAUUUUUAUUUUUCAUGUUUGUUUACUUCCGAGUGUGUUACAUAUAUUGUAUAUAACAAUAUUGCAGUGAAAAAGUUACAUUACCAGGUAAGCAAAAUGGUCCAAUUAUAUACUUUCUCUCCUCUGGGAAUUUCCCAAUGAACCAAUACUGGAUUUCUAGAUUGUUUCUUGCAGUCCAUGAUUGUCAGAUGUUACUCUAUUUUAGGUUGAAGUACUGAUUAUGUUCAUUCUUUGGAUGACAUGCAUAUAGUUUUGUAUUUUUCAGUGUUUCUAGUAUAGGCUGCUUUAAAUUCUAGUCAGAAACAGUACUGGGUAAUCAAAAGUUCAUUAUUUUGAUUCUUGCUUGAGACAUACAAGUUUCUCACAACAGUUUUUCUCUGUUCUGUGCUUAAUUUACAAUCUUGGUUAUAAAUAUGAGACAUAUUUCCCAAAUGGGUUUUUUCAGCAAUUGGCAAGUUUCUCAAGAAUAUAGCACAUUUUGGAAUCGAUUCCUUAAUUGGGAUUGUAAAUUUUGUGAAUCCGCUCCUUACCUGUUGGAGAUAUAAGGUGCUUGGGAUUAGGUUAGCUCCUUUAAAGUAUUCUGCUACCUGACAGAAUUUAAUUUGCCUUGAGAUCUUUGAAGAGCAAGAAUAGUGUUACUCUUGAAAGGCAAAUGAUAAAUGAAACUGACUUUGCUACUGAGUUCUGCUCUAUCUUGAUCUUUGGCAACUGGUUUCUCCAUUCUCCGUUCAAAGACAUUAACAUUGCUGUUGUUCUGCCAAGUGCUAGGCUGGCUGCUUGAUUUUUGAAAGUGUUUGAUGAAGUAGCUCCAUGGAAGACAAGUGUGAAAUUAAGAAAGAUGUUACGGAAGUAAUUUUCUUUGCACAGCUCAUGCUUUUGAUCUCAUGCUUUUGAUCUUGCCUUCUGUCUUCGGUUACUGUGAUCUUGCUUACAGUUUGGCUGUAUUUUGGCUUGUUCAGUUGAUAGGCCAUACACCGAUGGUGUAUCUCAAUAAUGUUGUGGAUGGCUGUGUAGCCCAUAUUGCUGCCAAGCUAGAAAUGAUGCAACCUUGCUCUAGUGUCAAAGACAGGUUAAUGACUUUCUCAUUCGUUAAUUACUAAUUGAUUGUAUUUGUUGGCGUAUGCGGGCUUAUGAUGCUAAUAUUAUAUUGGAAGUCAUGGAUUUGGUUUUCAAUGUUUUGACAUGCAGAAUUGCAUAUAGUAUGAUCAAAGAUGCAGAGGAUAAGGGCUUAAUAACCCCAGGGAAGGUAUUCAAUGGAAACUCUCCAAUUCUAAAGUUGAUUAAUCAUAAAAAUUAUGCUAUGAACUCAGUGUUUUUGUUUUCAGUCAACAUUAAUAACUUCAACCAAGCCCAUCCUGCUUCUUAAAAUUUUAAGAGUCUCUUGUGUUUUCCAAGACUUCUGCUCAAACUGGGUUUACACUGCUCAAACUGAUUGAUAAACAUGUUAACUAACAAAUUUGCCGUCUGGAUAUGUUGGAAUGUUGAUGGUUAAAGACUGUCCUCAUUGAGAUAACUAGUGGAAACACCGGCAUUGGAUUGGCCUUCAUUGCAGCAUCAAGGGGUUACAAACUUAUCAUUAUAAUGCCAUCAACAUAUAGUAUUGAGAGAAGAAUAAUUCUCAGAGCUUUGGGAGCUGAGGUUUAUCUUGCAGAUCCAGCAGGGGGCUUUGAGGAGUUUGUUAAAAAGGGUGAGGAGAUACUAAACAGAACACCUAAUGGUUAUAUUCUUGGACAAUUUGAAAAUCCCGCGAAUCCGGAGGUACUCUUUUCGUUGAUAUUACAAUACAGGUCUGCAUUUUAAAGGGUUUAUUAAUCUGUUUAUUGUCAAAUGUGUAGAUUCAUUAC
rnacentral:lncRNA from 1 species